GUGGGGAAUUUUGGACAAUGGGCGCAAGCCUGAUCCAGCAAUGCCGCGUGUGUGAAGAAGGCCUUCGGGUUGUAAAGCACUUUUGGCAGGAAAGAAAUAGUGCGUGCUAAUACCAUGCGCGAAUGACGGUACCUGCAGAAUAAGCACCGGCUAACUACGUGCCAGCAGCCGCGGUAAGACGUAGGGUGCAAGCGUUAAUCGGAAUUACUGGGCGUAAAGCGUGCGCAGGCGGUUUUGUAAGACAGGUGUGAAAGCCCCGGGCUCAACCUGGGAAGUGCAGUCGUGACUGCAAGGCUAGAGUGUGUCAGAGGGAGGUGGAAUUCCGCGUGUAGCAGUGAAAUGCGUAGAGAUGCGGAGGAACACCGAUGGCGAAGGCAGCCUCCUGGGAUAACACUGACGCUCAGGCACGAAAGCGUGGGGAGCAAACAGGAUUAGAUACCCGUGUAGUCC
rnacentral:rRNA from 1 species